rnacentral:rRNA from 1 species
UACGUAGGGCGCAAGCGUUAUCCGGAAUUAUUGGGCGUAAAGAGCUCGUAGGCGGUUUGUCGCGUCUGCCGUGAAAGUCCGGGGCUCAACUCCGGAUCUGCGGUGGGUACGGGCAGACUAGAGUGAUGUAGGGGAGACUGGAAUUCCUGGUGUAGCGGUGAAAUGCGCAGAUCUCAGGAGGAACACCGAUGGCGAAGGCAGGUCUCUGGGCAUUAACUGACGCUGAGGAGCGAAAGCAUGGGGAGCGAACAGG